GCCCUUGUAGUUUAUAUAAAACUUUAGUCUUGUAAACUAAGAUAGAUCCCCUGGGCU
rnacentral:tRNA from 1 species